CAGUCGCCGCGGUAAUACGUAGGUAGCAAGCGUUGUCCGGAAUUAUUGGGCGUAAAGGGCUCGCAAGCGGUUUCUUAAGUCUGAUGUGAAAGCCCCCGGCUCAACCGGGGAGGGUCAUUGGAAACUGGGAAACUUGAGUGCAGAAGAGGAGAGUGGAAUUCCACGUGUAGCGGUGAAAUGCGUAGAGAUGUGGAGGAACACCAGUGGCGAAGGCGACUCUCUGGUCUGUAACUGACGCUGAGGAGCGAAAGCGUGGGGAGCGAACAGGAUUAGAUACCCCCGUAGUCCCUGUCUCUUAUAC
rnacentral:rRNA from 1 species